AUUGGAUGAGCCCGCGGCCUAUCAGCUUGUUGGUGAGGUAAUGGCUCACCAAGGCGACGACGGGUAGCUGAUCUGAGAGGACGAUCAGCCACACUGGGACUGAGACACGGCCCAGACUCCUACGGGAGGCAGCAGUGGGGAAUCUUGCGCAAUGGGCGAAAGCCUGACGCAGCAACGCCGCGUGGAGGAAGAAGGCCUUAGGGUUGUAAACUCCUGUCAGGGGGGAAGAAGGCACCUGGGUUAAUAGCCCAAGGGCUGACGGUACCCCCAGAGGAAGCCACGGCUAACUACGUGCCAGCAGCCGCGGCCGAU
rnacentral:rRNA from 1 species